CAGUCGAGCGACGGAUAAGGAGCUUGCUCCUUUGAAGUUAGCGGCGGACGGGUGAGUAACACGUGGGUAACCUACCUAUAAGACUGGAAUAACUUCGGGAAACCGGAGCUAAUGCCGGAUAACAUAUAGAACCGCAUGGUUCUAUAGUGAAAGAUGGUUUUGCUAUCACUUAUAGAUGGACCCGCGCCGUAUUAGCUAGUUGGUAAGGUAAUGGCUUACCAAGGCGACGAUACGUAGCCGACCUGAGAGGGUGAUCGGCCACACUGGAACUGAGACACGGUCCAGACUCCUACGGGAGGCAGCAGUAGGGAAUCUUCCGCAAUGGGCGAAAGCCUGACGGAGCAACGCCGCGUGAGUGAUGAAGGUUUUCGGAUCGUAAAACUCUGUUAUUAGGGAAGAACAAAUGCGUAAGUAACUGUGCGCAUCUUGACGGUACCUAAUCAGAAAGCCACGGCUAACUACGUGCCAGCAGCCGCGGUAAUACGUAGGUGGCAAGCGUUAUCCGGAAUUAUUGGGCGUAAAGCGCGCGUAGGCGGUUUCUUAAGUCUGAUGUGAAAGCCCACGGCUCAACCGUGGAGGGUCAUUGGAAACUGGGAAACUUGAGUGCAGAAGAGGAAAGUGGAAUUCCAUGUGUAGCGGUGAAAUGCGCAGAGAUAUGGAGGAACACCAGUGGCGAACGCGACUUUCUGGUCUGUAACUGACGCUGAUGUGCGAAAGCGUGGGGAUCAAACAGGAUUAGAUACCCUGGUAGUCCACGCCGUAACGAUGA
rnacentral:rRNA from 1 species